rnacentral:rRNA from 1 species
GGGUCAGUAGGUUGGUCGUGCCACCGGUACGUACUGGUCUCACUGAUUCCUCCUUCCUGAAGAACCGUAACGCCAUUAAUUUGGUGUUGCGGGGAAACAGGACCGUUACUUUGAAAAAAUUAGAGUGUUUAAAGCAAGCUAACGCUUGAAUACAUCAGCAUGGAAUAAUGAAAUAGGACGAUCGAUCCUAUUUUGUUGGUUUCUAGGAUUGACGUA